CACUGGGCCAGAGGGGUUUUCUCCUCACCGUGGUGUGUGAGGAGUGCCUGAGAAUGCCAAGCCUGGAGUGGGGGGAUUUUGGCAAAUGCUCUGGAAAUUUGCAAGACCAGCGAUUUGUGGACAUCAGAUCUAUAGCCGGUAGCAUUGUCAGCUGACAGUUUUCCAAAGAAGAUAGGAAGUAAUCAGUGCAAACUUUGUGGAAAUUUGAUUAAUAAAAACCGAGAGCAACAUUUAAUCUACAUUCAAGAAGAAAGAUCUAAGUGCUGAGAAUACAACAAUGAAAAACCCAGAUUAAGCCUCUACUUUUGUGGAGUGCCCUACAGUUAAAUGACAGAUGUCACUUUUGCUGUCAACGCAUUUGCUAGCACUACUUAAAUGGCUCAUUUCAACUGUAAGGGAGAAAAGAAAUGAAAUCCUGCCAUGUACCUGGAGAUUGGAGCACAAGAAAUACUUGGUAAACAGCAGAAAUGACCAUUAUCACAGUGCACCCUUCCCACCACCAAACAUUUGACCCAUUCUCUCUCUCACAGGCAAGGUACUUUCCCAUGGGAGACACAGCAAACAUUCUACUUAGACAUGUCAGGAAGCUGAAAUUCUAGAGGCUGUGAAUGAUGCCAGGCAUCAUUCAGGUAGGCUCUGUAUCAGAUGGCAUUUAUAUCAAGUCUGAAUGUGACUUAUCUUCAU